rnacentral:lncRNA from 1 species
CUUCUUGGAUAAAUUCAUGUUUCAAGAAAGUGGCGUGCCUACUAACAAACUCUUUUUGUUCAAUAGGGUGGUUGAAAUAAUAUCUAUUAAUUUCAUUAAGAUACUUUACAGACCUACACUUGUCUGAUCUAGUAUUAGGCUUAUGUCCAAAAAUAUUUUUGACAUAAGUAGGACAGUCCAAAGUCUUAAGAUAUUCAAGAUUAGGCUUCCUUCCAUUCUACAUCUCAUAUGGACUGCUUGCAACAGAC